CACCCUUUAGACUUCCAAUGCUUCUGGCUUUAAUAUUCUGUGCUAGAUUCACAGAGCUCCUCUACAGAUGCUAAGCGUUCAAUCCUGAAGGCUCCACUUCAUCAUCAGGGGUCCUUCAGCAGCCAUCAUUAUCCCAUGCCAACUGCCCUCUUCGUUUGCCUACUGACAACCAGUGUCCUUUCCUAAAAUGCUCCGACGGUGCCAUGGCUUUAGAACAUGAAGUCUUCCCAACUAUGCCAGGGAGAGGAGCUGAGCAGAGUUUGGGUAAUUGAAACCUGCUCAGCCAAGGGAUACCUUGAC
rnacentral:lncRNA from 1 species